GAGGUGGGAGCAUUUGGCCCGUCUCUCCCCAGCCUCUAUACAACCCUAACGCCCAGAUCUCAAACCCUAACCCUAGCCGAUGGAUCUCUCAGCCGACACCCGCCGGUCUCUCCUCCCCAAUUUUCUCUACUCCUCCGCCACAUCCGCGAGGCCCCUCGGCCUCGACCGCCUCCUCCACGGCCGGAACCCUAGCUCGCCGGCCCCUGCUCCGGCGCCGUCUUCGAAUGGAUCCGGAUUGUCGUUCGGAUCUUUCCAGAUCCAGGCCCCCAGCGAGCCCGGCAGGAUCGAGAUGUACUCGCCGAUGUUCUACGCCGCCUGCACCGCCGGAGGCAUCGCCAGCUGCGGGCUGACGCAUAUGGCCGUCACCCCGCUGGAUCUCGUUAAAUGUAACAUGCAGAUUGACCCGGCUAAAUACAAGAGUAUCACGUCUGGGUUUGGCAUCCUGCUCAAAGAACAGGGGGUUAGAGGUUUCUUCCGUGGUUGGGUGCCUACCUUGAUUGGUUACAGCGCCCAGGGUGCUUGCAAGUUUGGGUUCUAUGAGUUCUUCAAGAAGUACUAUUCCGACAUUGCUGGACCUGAGUUUACUGCCAAAUACAAGACCCUGAUCUACCUUGCUGGCUCUGCUUCUGCUGAAGUGAUUGCUGAUGUAGCUCUCUGCCCUAUGGAGGCAGUGAAGGUGCGUGUCCAGACUCAGCCUGGAUUUGCUAGAGGGCUGAGUGAUGGGUUCCCUAAGUUUGUCAAGUCUGAAGGAUACGGAGGGCUGUAUAAAGGACUAGUUC
rnacentral:misc_RNA from 1 species